CCAUGCGCCUCCUCUCCUCCUUCCCUGCCGCCGCCUGACCUCCUCCUUCCACCCGUUGCCGCCCGGCCUCCUCCCGCCCGCGCCUCCCUCUCCUCCUUCCUCGCCGCCGCCCGGCCUCCUCCCCACCCGUGCCUCCCUCUCAUACUUCCACCCCACCGAUCUAGCGCCACCAAACCCUAACGCCCCGCCCGGCCCCGGCUCCCACGGGAGGGAAGGAGGAAUGACGAGGCGAGGCAAAGGCGGCGGCGUAUGGGACGUGGCGCGGGCGGCGUGGCCCAGGGGGUCGGCCUCCUCCUCCCCUACGGUGGCGCGCCGCCUCCGCCGUCGGCAGGAGGGGGCCGCGGUGGCCGCCGCGCAGCCCGACCAGGAGCUCCCCGGCGAGCAGUCGUUCCCCUACGAGAAGAAGGUGAGGAGGACACGCCCCUGCGUCAAGAGAUCCGUCAAGAGUUGCUCGUGCCGGGAGAGGAAUCCACGUCUGCUCCUGCUGCUCGACUGAUUCCAGAUCGAGGGACGCCUGCUUCUGCUCGCUACGGACGGCGCCCGCCGGCCACGCAGAAGUAGACUCAGCGGACAUUAUGUUGUGGACAAACUGUAGGUGGCUCAGUCUGAUUGACACAAGAAAGGGGCAAGGCCAGCUCCAUGUUCCUCUAGCAGAACUGGACCACCAAUCGUUAUAGUUCUGGUCUCAGGAAGCAGGAUGAAUUGGUCCAUCAACGAACACUUUUGUUGCAGAUCUUGGCAGCUAAAAGAGAACUGACUAGGCCCUAGUCAUCUCCGCCCCUGAUAGUGCUCCUAGAUGUGCUACACAUCACCUCCUCGUCUCCUUGGCCGCUUCGCAGCCAGUGGCGUUCGUGCUCGUCGGCGGGACGGUGCAAGGUGCAACUUCGACGUGGUUCCUCGCCGGUUGGACGGUGUUCAGACGCAACCCUGGUGCCCACUGAGUACUGCCUCGGCUACAACCUCCCUCGGUGAGCUCCAUCUUCCCCUGCUCUACUUCAUCUACUAUAUGGGACAUGGGCAGGGCUAUGAUGAUCAGUUAUCGCUGAUAUAGGCAUGCUCUCGAGCAAUCAAGGCACUUGUGGGUUUUAAUUUGGAUCCUCCCUCAUUUCUUUGAGUCGUUUUGAUCAUGUUCUUAUUUUAGUGGCUCCUGUCCUUGGAUGGACAUUUCUGAUGAGUGAUAACCAAGGCAGUUUCACCCUUGUGAGAACAUAUUGAUUGGUGAUCCAUCCAGAAAUAAGACCCAUGGCAAGUUCCCUGGCUCCUCAGAUCUCAGGCACUUUCGGCCGUCAGAUCGAUUUCCUGAUGCGAUUCUAGCCGCCGGAUCUCGCUCCGGAUUGAUCUCGGCCAUUGGGUCGAGCCCGAGCUCCUGUAGCAAUGAAUAGUUACUCCCGCGGUGAGAUAUCUUGUGUCAUCGCGUGUGAAUCACGUGUCCCAUCGGUCGGAAGCCAUUCUUUCUAGGGCGAUGAUGAUUAACCGUCGUUGAAAUAAGUGUGCCUUUGAGCAAUCGAGUUACCUGUGGGUAUCAAGUUGGAUCCUCCCUCUUGUCUCUAGAAUCCUUUUUGAUCCUGUGAUACUUAUUGUUCUGUCCUUGGAUGGUCAUUCUUGUUGACUGAUAACCAGGGCAGUUCUACUGUAUAAACAGAUUGAUCUAGUGAUAAGAGAUGAUGGGGGUAGGUUAUAUGAUCGAGGAAAGGCGAAUCUGAGCCCACUAUGCAAUAGAACUGUAGCUACCUCCCCUAGUGUGUGUAGUAUUGAAGGCAAUAAAUAACUUUUCAUGUUACUUUAAAAUUCAGAAAAGGUUAAUUCUUCCUUUGCUGGUUACUUAACCAUGAUUUUUGUUUUGCUUUGGUUCUGGUUGAGAUACUAAAGGUUGUUUAUUUAUGAAAAGAACAAACACUUGUAGUUUUGUAUGCCUCAGCUGUUGCUUAGGAUCCAGUGUUGUAGUGCUUUGCCUAAUUACAAAUAACUCUAAUCAAUAAUAGUGGUAUCAAUAAUAGUGGUUCUUUUCUUCUGAUUUGAACUGAGAGAGAGAGAGCCACUGAUUCUUGAUCUUAAGGUGACCCCAUUUUUCUAUGCCUCAUGCUCAUGCUGCUCUAUGUUCCCUUUUAAAAAUUCUUGCUUGCAUUUUGGGUUGGUUUCUGCUCUAUGUUCCCUUUUAGCGUUUCUUUCCGUUGUUGCUGCACUCCCUUUUGGGCGUUCAUUUCAUGCCCAGGAUCUUGCAAAUUGUGCCUGUGCCAAGCUUGCUUUAGAGUACGGGCUACAGAGACGUCGAGGACCUCAAGGUCACCGAUGUUGUAGAGCUGGGCGAGGUUUCCACGCAGUUCAUCGACCGCCUGUUCUUCCUGGAGAAGG